GUGAAUUCGUGUGUGUGUGUGUGCGUGUGCAUGUAAGUGUGUGUGAGUGUGUACUGCUGGCAGAGAGAGGCAGGCCAAGAUGGGCCAGUUCUGCUCUGGGCCGCUGGGCUCUACACACACAUCACAUCUGUUCUCCUCUCUGUAAGCCAGCUCCUCUGUUCCUCUGUGUCCUCCACCUCUCCACCCUUCUGUAAAUAAUACCCUUCAUUAUCUUCUAACAGCUCUCAACAGAGGGUUUGGUUAAAAUAUACAUGCUUGACAAUAAGUUAAAUGUAGAAAAUGUACUGUAUGUUAUCACCUUGUCAAGAAACUGUAGGCUAUGUAUUUACAAUAGCAUAGAUUAUUUCAUUGGUAGUUCAUUAGAUAUUGGGUCGAUCUAUGCAAUGUCAAGUGUAAACCAGGGUUGUGUUCAAUUAAAUUUUAGAUUCAGGUCCAUUCAAGCAGGCAAAGUAUACAUUAUUUGGUCUGGAAAAUAAAACCACAUUGCUAGCUGGCCAAAACUGUUUGAAGAGUUUUCAGCUUUGUUUUCCGCUUUCUGUCUGUAGACGAUAUCUAUGGCCAGUACUCCACUCAUCUAGAAGGACCUCAGGUUUCUUUGAGGCUGCAACAUUCUUCCGCAGCAAACAUAAUAAAUAGUUAAGUUAUGGAUAAAUAUUAAUGUAGCUACAUUAGGUUUUCACAAGGGUUCAACAUGAAGAUUUCAUUCUCUCUCUCCAAAUGUAAAACAUACAUUUUCUGCUCAGGCGUUUAUGUAAAUUUAAUUUCAGAAGAUUUUGGUGGGGUGAAUCUUACAGUAACAAUACACUAUUGAUGCAAUUGCCCAUGUAUAAGAGUGAUGAGAAACGCAUGUAUCUAUGUUAGGAGAGUUUAAUGUACAAGUCAACAUCAUGAAAAAGUGCACCCAGGGUAGAGAUUAGGAUAUGGUUGGGUGGGAUUUGUGUGUGGUGAUGCCUCCUUGUGCGUGUAUGUUUGUGUGUGUGUGUGUGUUACGCUAUGCUUUGUGUGCUGCUCUACACUAUUCCGCUACGCCGAGGGGUCUGGGUGAGAAGAGAGCAGUGAGCUGGCCACUCCGGGUGACCAGGGGUCAGGUGAAUUUGUAAGCUGUCAAACAGAGCCACUCGGACGCAGGUCCAGAGGCUGUGUCCCAAAUAGCAUCCUAUUCCUUAGCGCUACCUAUAGAACUCUGGUCAAAAGUAAUGCCCUAUAAAGGGAAUUUGGUGCAAUUUGGGACGCAGGCAGAGGCUGGAUAGAGACAACCCUCCCAGGGAAUGGAUUUUAUUAGAUGUUCAGUGGGGGGAAAAAGAGCGCUCAAUGGGAAGGAUAAAGGGAAAUUAACACUUUGAGAGAAGAGAAGGGAAAACAGCCCCAGCUAAUGGCUGUUAGGUAAAUACCUGAGGCUUUUAGCUGAAUCAUAGGCUGUGUGUGUGUGUGCACAGUGCUUUGGGCGCUAACGUUCACUACCAGCAAAUAUUCAUAACACCAAGUCAAGAUCUUUCAUUAUCUACUCUCUCUGUGAAACUAAGCUGAGGGAUUGUGGAACACAAAGAGAAUGGGCAUCAUGGACCCAGCUAAAAAGGAAAGGCUAGAUAUAUGCUUUAUAGUAGCUUUUUUAUUUUAUGUCUAUCUUCGAUAAGCUACCCAGGAAAGGGCAAAAAAUUGGCAUAUUAAUGUACAGCGCAUUCGGAAAGUAUUCAGACCCCUUGACUUUUCCAAAAUGUUGUUAAGUUACAGUCUUAUUCAAUUUAAAAAAUAUAUUUUUAUUCUCCCUCAAUCUACACACAGUACCCCAUAAUGAAAAGCAAAAACAGGUUAGUAUAUAUUUUUAGUAAUUUAUUGGACCAAUUUUGCGUUGCCCCAUUCUUGGGGACUUUCAAUUUUAGUACCCUGCCCCAGAUCUGUGCCUCAACAUAAUCCUGUCCUGGAGCUCUACAGACAAUUCCUUCGACCUCAUGGCUUGGUUUUUGCUCUGACAUGCAUUAUCAACUGUGGGACCUUAUAUAGACAGGUGUGUGCCUUUCCAAAUCAUGUCCAAUCAAUUGAAUUUACCACAGGUCGACUCCAAUCAAAUUGUAGAAACAUCUCAAGGAUGAUCAAUGGAAAACAGGAUGCACAAUGGGGUGUUGUGUGUAGAUUAGAUUAUUUAAUCAAUUUUAGAUUAAGGCUGUAACGUAACAAAAUGUGGAAAAAGUGAAGGGGUCUAAAUACUUUCCGAAGGCACUGUUUGUAGCCUUAGAAAUAAGGUUCAUGAAAUUAAUAACUUGCUAACAUCAGAUAAAAUGUAUGUUGGCCAACUCUGAGACUCACUUAACUCAUUUCAUAAUACAGCAGUAGCAAUACAGGGAUAUAACAUCUACAGAAGAGACAGGAAUGUCUAUGGGGGAGGUGUUGCUGUACAUGUUCAGAGCCAUAUUCCUGGAAAGGGUAGAGAGUAUUUCAUGUCUAAUGAUGUUGAAGUUUUGUGGUUGCAAAUUAAUUUGCCUCAUCUAAAGCCUUUUAUUUUGGGGUGCUGCUGUAGUCCACCAAGUGGUAACAGUCAAUAUGUGUGCAAUUCUUGAUAAUAUGUGUGAUGUUAACCUGUUAGGGCUAGGGGGCAGUAUUGACACAGCCGGAUAAAAAACGUACCCGAUUU
rnacentral:lncRNA from 1 species